AACGAACGCUGGCGGCAUGCCUAACACAUGCAAGUCGAACGCUAUUUAUAGAGUGGCGCACGGGUGAGUAACGCGUGGGAACGUGCCCUUCUCUACGGAAUAGUCCCGGGAAACUGGGUUUAAUACCGUAUACGCCCUUCGGGGGAAAGAUUUAUCGGAGAAGGAUCGGCCCGCGUUGGAUUAGGUAGUUGGUGGGGUAAUGGCCUACCAAGCCGACGAUCCAUAGCUGGUCUGAGAGGAUGAUCAGCCACACUGGGACUGAGACACGGCCCAGACUCCUACGGGAGGCAGCAAUGGGGAAUAUUGGACAAUGGAGGCAACUCUGAUCCAGCAAUGCCGCGUGUGUGAUGAAGGCCCUAGGGUUGUAAAGCACUUUCAACGGUGAAGAUGAUGACGGUAGCCGUAGAAGAAGCCCCGGCUAACUUCGUG
rnacentral:rRNA from 1 species